rnacentral:rRNA from 1 species
GAUGAACGCUGACAGAAUGCUUAACACAUGCAAGUCUUUGGCGAAGCUGUGCUUGCACAGCCUAGCCAAGGCGGACGGGUGAGUAACGCGUAAGGAACUUGCCUGCAGUCAGGGAUAACAGACGGAAACGACUGAUAAGACCUGGUAAAGUCAGGCGGACUCAUGUCCAGCCUGAUGAAAAGAGAUGCUGCAGGAGAGCCUUGCGUCCUAUUAGCUUGUUGGUGGGGUAACGGCCCACCAAGGCGAUGAUAGGUAGCCGGCCUGAGAGGGUGGACGGCCACAAGGGGACUGAGAUACGGCCCUUACUCCUACGGGAGGCAGCAGUGGGGAAUAUUGGACAAUGGGGGCAACCCUGAUCCAGCAAUUCUGUGUGCACGAUGAAGGUUUUCGGAUUGUAAAGUGCUUUCAGCAGGGAAGAAAAAAAUGACGGUACCUGCAGAAGAAGCGACGGCUAAAUACGUG